GAUGAAUGCUAGCUACCGUCUUAACACAUGCAAGUCGAGGGGCAGCAUGAAAGGAACUCCGGUUCUUUUUGAUGGCGACCGGCGCACGGGUGCGUAACGCGUAUCGAACCUGCCUCAUACUCGGGGAUAGCCUUGCGAAAGUAAGAUUAAUACCCGGCGGUCUCGGAUGGCCGCAUGACUAUCCGAGUGAAGAUUUAUCGGUAUGAGAUGGCGAUGCGUCCCAUUAGCUAGUUGGUGAGGUAAUGGCUCACCAAGGCAUCGAUGGGUAGGGGUUCUGAGAGGAAGGUCCCCCACAUUGGAACUGAGACACGGUCCAAACUCCUACGGGAGGCAGCAGUGAGGAAUAUUGGUCAAUGGACGAAAGUCUGAACCAGCCAAGUAGCGUGCAGGAUGACGGCCCUCUGGGUUGUAAACUGCUUUUAGUUGGGAAUAAAAAGAGGGACGUGUCCCUUAUUGUAUGUACCAUCAGAAAAAGGACCGGCUAAUUCCGUGCCAGCAGCCGCGGUAAUACGGAAGGUCCAGGCGUUAUCCGGAUUUAUUGGGUUUAAAGGGAGCGCAGGCGGCGGCGUAAGUCAGUUGUGAAAUCGUGCGGCUUAACCGUGCAAUUGCAGUUGAUACUGCGUCGCUUGAGUGCACACAGGGAUGUUGGAAUUCAUGGUGUAGCGGUGAAAUGCUUAGAUAUCAUGAAGAACUCCGAUCGCGAAGGCAUAUGUCCGGAGUGCAACUGACGCUGAGGCUCGAAAGUGUGGGUAUCANACAGG
rnacentral:rRNA from 1 species